GUGGAGACUGCUAGCAAGCCCCUUCCUGACAGGAACCAGAGUAGAGCAUCAGAGCAGUGGAGCCAAGAGACAGAGUUGCUCCGCUGGCCCCCAAGCUUGGUUCAGGAAAGGGGAGCUGAGCUUCAUCUCCCUGGCAUUCUGAGGGGGAGCGGGGACUUGACCAGAGUCUUUAAGAAGUUAAUGUUCCAUUGGCAUGGCUUCUCCCUCCCAGGUACCUGGCAGACAGAAUGGAGGAGAAAGAACUGGCAGCCAGUGAGAAGUUUUCGCAAUGGACAGACCAGACAAGGCACGCCAGGCUUAAGGUCACAGCAAGUCACUCAGUCUUGGAGGGAGCCCCGGGGGACCAGCCAGCAGUGUCUCAGUCUGGCUGCCCCUCUGUGCACUGUGAGAGUGGGGAGCAUGGAGGACAGUCCUCGAGCCACUGUGCUGGGGUGACAAGCAGUGCUCACAUCCAGCUUUACGGCCAGGGACCUGAGCACAGCUCCUCAUGCAUGCAUAACAAGCACUGGACCAAUGGAGUCAUCUUCUUGGCCCUCCAUCCACCCCUCUACUGAAGGAAGGACUGGGGACUGGAAGUGUCUGUCCUGCCAUUUUUUCUGGGGUCACUGCAGGGCACUGAUGGAAGCUUAAAGGCAGACAGAUGUCGUGAGCUAACCCUCCAGUCUCUAGAAAGUCCCAGCCACAGCACUAAGAGCACAGUGGAAGAAGCUACCCUCAAAAAUAGAUGCUAGACACACAUAGAUGCAGGCGUGUGUAGAAGGAUCAGUGGAAGGGUGGACAGAUGUGUGCAUGUGCGAGCAGACUGAUGGAUAAUGGGGGGAAGAUGGUUGCAUGGUUACAAAAGGAUGGGUAAAUGGACAAGCGAGGGGACAGAUGCACGGAUACAUAGAUGGAUGCACAGACAGAUGGACAAUCUUGGAGUUGAGAGCUGAAACCCUGAGAACACCUGCCUAGCUCUAGCACCUGCCUGAAGAAUUAAUGACUGGUUAGACCGACCCGACCUUCAGUUUCCCCAUCUGCGGAACGGUGACAACAGAGGACACAGGGUGGCCUGACGGGUCAGAGGCCAGGUAGAAAGUACUUAGCACAGUGUGCGGGACACAGAACUGCCUGGAGGUCAUUCUAGAUUAGGUCCCUUGGUCUUGACUUUGCUCGAGAGGUCUCUGACCUGCGUGUCUUGCUUCGUCUACCUUCUAGCACCUAGCUGGUGACUUCCGGCCAGAGAGAGUCUCAGUGUUCCCAGUUCCUUGAUACCUUUCUCUCCAUGGCAGGGACUCUCCCAAGAGAGUUUUCCUGCUCUCUCUUGAGCUCAGGUGUAGGCAAACCCCUGGAGAAGACUCAGACAGUCCCCGUUGGAGAAAGCAGAGGGGGAUGUCUCAGAGCCUUCAUUGUCUGCAUUUUCCUUCCAGACCAAAUGUGGGUAAUAAAGUCAUGUUGAACUGCC